GAUGAACGCUGGCGGCGUGCCUAAUACAUGCAAGUCGAGCGAACGGACGAGAAGCUUGCUUCUCUGAUGUUAGCCGCGGACGGGUGUGUAACACGUGGAUACCCUCCCUAUAACACUGGUAUAACUUCGGAAAACCGGAGCUAAUACCAUAUAAUAUUUUGAACCGCAUGGUUCAAUAGUGAAAGACGGUCUUGCUGUCACUUAUAGAUGGAUCCGCGCUGCAUUAGCUAGUUGGUAAGGUAACGGCUUACCAAGGCAACGAUGCAUAGCCGACCUGAGAGGGGGACCGCCCACACUGGACCUGGACCACGGUCCAGCCUCCUACGGGAGGAAGCAGAAGGGAAUCUUCCGCAAUGGGCGAAGGCCGGACGGAGCAACGCCGCGUGAGUGAUGAAGGUCUUCGGAUCGUAAAACUCUGUUAUUAGGGAAGAACAUAUGUGUACGUAAAUGUGCACAUCUUGACGGUACCUAAUCAGAAAGCCACGGCUAACUACGUG
rnacentral:rRNA from 1 species